rnacentral:rRNA from 1 species
AUUGAACGCUGGCGGCGUGCUUAACACAUGCAAGUCGAUCGGUAACGCGGGGGCAACCCUGGCGACGAGAGGCGGACGGGUGAGGAACGCUUGGGAAUCUGCCUAUCAGCGGGGGACAACACGGGGAAACUCGUGCUAAUACCGCAUACGCUCUACGGAGGAAAGCCGGGGACCGCAAGGCCUGGCGCUGACAGAUGAGCCCAAGCCGGAUUAGCUAGUUGGCGGGGUAACGGCCCACCACGGCGACGAUCCGUAGCUGGUCUGAGAGGAAGAUCAGCCACACUGGAACUGAGACACGGUCCAGACUCCUACGGGAGGCAGCAGUGGGGAAUAUUGGACAAUGGGGGAAACCCUGAUCCAGCGACGCCGCGUGGGUGAAGAAGGCCUGCGGGUUGUAAAGCCCUUUCGGUAGGGACGAAAGCUCUCGACCUAACACGUCGGGAGGUUGACUUAACCUACAAAAGAAGCACCGGCUAACUCUGUGCCAGCCGCCGCGGUAAAAC